UACGUAGGGUGCGAGCGUUGUCCGGAAUUAUUGGGCGUAAAGGGCUCGUAGGCGGUUUGUCGCGUCGGGAGUGAAAACCAUGGGCUUAACUCAUGGCUUGCUUUCGAUACGGGCAGACUAGAGGUAUGCAGGGGAGAACGGAAUUCCUGGUGUAGCGGUGAAAUGCGCAGAUAUCAGGAGGAACACCGGUGGCGAAGGCGGAUCUCUGGGCCAUUACUGACGCUGAGGAGCGAAAGCGGGGGGAGCGAACAGG
rnacentral:rRNA from 1 species